rnacentral:rRNA from 1 species
UCCAUAGGUUAAUGAGGCGAACCGGGGGAACUGAAACAUCUAAGUACCCCGAGGAAAAGAAAUCAACCGAGAUUCCCCCAGUAGCGGCGAGCGAACGGGGAGGAGCCCAGAGCCUGAAUCAGCAUGUGUGUUAGUGGAAGCGUCUGGAAAGGCGCGCGAUACAGGGUGACAGCCCCGUACACAAAAGCGCAUGUGCUGUGAGCUCGAUGAGUAGGGCGGGACACGUGGUAUCCUGUCUGAAUAUGGGGGGACCAUCCUCCAAGGCUAAAUACUCCUGACUGACCGAUAGUGAACCAGUACCGUGAGGGAAAGGCGAAAAGAACCCCGGCGAGGGGAGUGAAAAAGAACCUGAAACCGUGUACGUACAA